rnacentral:rRNA from 11 species
GGAAGUAUUUAAAAUACCCUUAAAGCACCAUAUGUCGUCUGAGCUUGGAUGCUAUGCAGGGUCAACUCUGGCUAGUACUUAGGUGGGAGACCACCAACAAAUACCAAGUGCUGUAAGCU